UAGUCCAUGCCGUAAACGAUGUGUGUUAGACGUUGGAAAAUUUAUUUUCAGUGUCGCAGCGAAAGCGAUAAACACACCGCCUGUGGGGUACGACCGCAAGGUUAAAACUCAAAUGAAUUGACGGGGACCCGCACAAGUAGUGGAGCAUGUGGUUUAAUUCGAAGAUACGCGCAGAACCUUACCAACACUUGACAUGUUCGUCGCGACUCUAAGAGAUUAGAGUUUUCGGUUCGGCCGGACGAAACACAGGUGCUGCAUGGCUGUCGUCAGCUCGUGUCGUGAGAUGUUGGGUUAAGUCCCGCAACGAGCGCAACCCUCACUUUUAGUUGCCAUCAUUUAGUUGGGCACUCUGAAAGAACUGCCAGUGAUAAGCUGGAGGAAGGUGGGGAUGACGUCAAGUCCUCAUGGCCCUUACGUGUUGGGCUACACACGUGCUACAAUGGCAUCUACAAUAGGAAGCAAGAUGGCGACAUCAAGCAAAUCCUAAAAAGAUGCCUC
rnacentral:rRNA from 1 species